GAUGAAGAACGUAGCGAAAUGCGAUAAGUAGUGUGAAUUGCAGAAUUUAGUGAAUCAUCGAAUCUUUGAACGCACAUUGCGCCCGCCAGCACUCUGGCGGGCAUGCCUGUUCGAGCGUCAUUUCAACCAUCAAGCCCCCAGGGGCUUGUGCUGGGGCCCUGCGGCUGCCCGCAGGCCCUGAAAACCAGUGGCGGGCUCGCUAGUCACACCGAGCGCAGUAGCACAUCUCGCUCAGGGCGUGCGGCGGGCUCCUGCCGUGAAACCCCCCACUGUAACCCCAAAGGUUGACCUCGGAUCAGGUAGGAAUACCCGCUGAACUUAAGCAUAUCAAUAAGCGGAGGA
rnacentral:misc_RNA from 1 species